rnacentral:lncRNA from 1 species
GGGGAGAGAUUUUAGGAAUUUAAAGAACUAAAACAAACCAAAAAAAUCAGAAAGAAAAAUUUCACUAUACUAUUAAAAUUCUAGAAAAUCCUUAGUAUCCAUUCUCAAAUCAUUCCUAAAUAGCUUUUGUGGUCCAAUUGUGUUGAAAGUUACUGUUCCACUGGCUUUAAGUUGAUUUCUGGUUCAUUCACCAAGUGUGCAUGUCAUUUGUUGUUGAUUCAUGUCACUGUUACUAUUGCUAUUGUACCUGCUGCUGCUGAUUUCUUCUUUAUCUUCUAUUUCUUCCAGGUACACACCUCUGUCCAUAAAAACAUGAC